rnacentral:lncRNA from 1 species
AUGAUGUUCCACCCAAGUCGGGGAUCCAAAAAAGCAAGGUUUUGGGUCCCUACACACACCGCAACAAGCAUGUCUUGGUAUAGCAAGUGUGUUCAUGGGAAGAAACCAUGUGAAUGUGAGGUUUGGGAUUGCUUUGGGAGUAAGCCAUCCACAGAUGGGUUAAUGGCAGUUCUGCUUCUUCUGUUCUGCAAUGGAGGAAAGCUUCUUGCAAGCUAAACAUGGAG